rnacentral:tRNA from 2 species
GCCCUGAUGGCGGAAUUGGUAGACGCGUUGGUCUCAAACACCAAUGGAGCAAUCCGUGCCGGUUCGAUCCCGGCUUAGGGCACCC